rnacentral:rRNA from 1 species
UACGUAGGGGGCAAGCGUUGUCCGGAUUUAUUGGGCGUAAAGAGCGUGUAGGCGGCUUUACAGGUCCGUUGUGAAAACUCGAGGCUCAACCUCGAGACGCCGGUGGAAACCGUAAAGCUAGAGUCCGGAAGAGGAGAGUGGAAUUCCUGGUGUAGCGGUGAAACGCGCAGAUAUCAGGAAGAACACCCGUGGCGAAGGCGGCUCUCUGGGACGGUACUGACGCUGAGGAGCGAAAGCGUGGGGAGCAAACAGG